UGCUUGCACUCCGCUGACGACCGGCGCACGGGUGCGGAACGCGUAUGGAACCUGCCCCUGUCAGGGGAAUAGCCCAGAGAAAUUUGGAUUAAUGCCCCAUGGUAACAACGGAUUGCAUGAUCAGUUGUUUAAAGAUUUAUCGGACAGGGAUGGCCAUGCGUACCAUUAGCUGGUUGGUAAGGUAACGGCUUACCAGGGCAACGAUGGUUAGGGGCCCUGAGAGGGGGAUCCCCCACACUGGUACUGAGACACGGACCAGACUCCUACGGGAGGCAGCAGUGAGGAAUAUUGGACAAUGGGCGGGAGCCUGAUCCAGCCAUGCCGCGUGCAGGAUGACUGCCCUAUGGGUUGUAAACUGCUUUUAUACGGGAAGAAACCUAUCCACGUGUGGAUAGCUGACGGUACCGUAAGAAUAAGGACCGGCUAACUCCGUGCCAGCAGCCGCGGUAAUACGGAGGGUCCGAGCGUUAUCCGGAAUCAUUGGGUUUAAAGGGUCCGUAGGCGGGCGUAUAAGUCAGGGGUGAAAGUUUGCGGCUCAACCGUAAAAUUGCCUUUGAUACUGUACGUCUUGAGUUAUAGUGGAGUUGCCGGAACAUGUGGUGUAGCGGUGAAAUGCAUAGAUAUCACAUAGAACACCGAUCGCGAAGGCAGGUGACUAACUAUAUACUGACGCUGAUGGACGAAAGCGUGGGGAGCGAACGGGAUUAGAUACCCCGGUAGUCCACGCCGUAAACGAUGGAUACUAGCUGUCGGGACCUCGGUCUCGGCGGCCAAGCGAAAGUGAUAAGUAUCCCACCUGGGGAGUACGUUCGCAAGAAUGAAACUCAAAGGAAUUGACGGGGGCCCGCACAAGCGGUGGAGCAUGUGGUUUAAUUCGAUGAUACGCGAGGAACCUUACCAGGCUUAAAUGUAGUUGCAUGGG
rnacentral:rRNA from 1 species